rnacentral:rRNA from 1 species
AGUGAACGCUGGCGGUAGGCCUAACACAUGCAAGUCGAACGGCAGCACAGUAAGAGCUUGCUCUUACGGGUGGCGAGUGGCGGACGGGUGAGGAAUACAUCGGAAUCUACUUUUUCGUGGGGGAUAACGUAGGGAAACUUACGCUAAUACCGCAUACGACCUACGGGUGAAAGCAGGGGAUCUUCGGACCUUGCGCGAUUGAAUGAGCCGAUGUCGGAUUAGCUAGUUGGCGGGGUAAAGGCCCACCAAGGCGACGAUCCGUAGCUGGUCUGAGAGGAUGAUCAGCCACACUGGAACUGAGACACGGUCCAGACUCCUACGGGAGGCAGCAGUGGGGAAUAUUGGACAAUGGGCGCAAGCCUGAUCCAGCCAUAGCGCGUGGGUGAAGAAGGCCUUCGGGUUGUAAAGCCCUUUUGUUGGGAAAGAAAAGCAGCAGGUUAAUACCCCGCUGCUCUGACGGUACCCAAAGAAUAAGCACCGGCUAACUUCGUG